UUUAUGCGUAAACUGACGAUAUACGUUUUAUCUCCACCUAUUAAAUUUCCAAAAUGUUCUCUUUCUUCGCCGGUUUAUACUUUUAGAGUGUAGCAUAUAUUGCUCGCAUCCAGAUUUGGAAACUCGAAAUAGAAUUAAUGGACUAGCGGUAGUGUCGUACCGUAAGUCAAUAAAAAUAAAGUCUCUAAUACUACUUUGCUUUUCGUCUCGUGGAGUAUUGAAAGGACCAUGAUUAACGAUAAGUGUCUUCAUUAGUUCCGGGCAAUAAUAUACUAUACGGAGUGUUCUGAAAAUAAGAAGCAAUGGCGAUGUAUUGUUAGGGUAAAUGUAAUUGACAAACAUUGCACACGUUUUUUGAAUGGCGAACCCUAGUGAAGUUAUUUUUUAGCCGAAGGUCGAGGACCAAAAUUAAGAUGCGAAAUUAAUAAGAGAGUUUUCUACUGUUUAUGUACUAUUUGUUCACUACUACAUAUUUUUUUAGGAGGACCGAGCUAGACAUCUUAAACCUACUUGCACGAUACUAUUGUAGAUAACUAGGCAAGCACGAAAAUAUUAAAACCAGCGAAAAAGUGAUCCGCUCGAUUAGCCGUAUUGGAAUGAAAUAAUCUCAUGGGCAUAAAAAAAGGAAAUUAUGACAAAGUAUGGCAUUCUCACUAACUAGUAUAAAUAGCGUAAUGCGUGUAAACUGUUCUUUAUACGUAAGCGAAAUUCUAUUCACUUGGAAACAAUUGGAACAGCUCGUUUUUUUCUUCAAACAUGUGGCUUUAAAAAUCAUAAUAACCAUCUAUAACCUAAGUCUGCCCUUAGUAAUAGUUAUUUAUUAUACAAGACGAUAAAGGGAUAUUUUAACCAUUGAGUGAAUUAACUUUCACGAGAUGGUUAGUUUCCCUUUAUCGUCGUGUAUAAUACAAAACUUUAUUUUAUAGCAGAAGCCAUAUAAAUCAUUGUAAAGCUUCUGACAGUUCUGAAUGUAAUUUACAGACAUCAAAAAUAGCAAGCUUAGGUUCUGCCGUCGCGAUCGUUUCCAUAGAAACAGAAUUGUCAUAUGUUCUGAACGUCAUUUUAUAUCGUGCAUUUCAAAUAAGAAUGACAGAUAUCAUUAGAAUGCACAAUCAUUUGUUUCACUUUAUCUACCCUUACGGUUAAGAGGGACCUUUAAAGAAGUUGCCAGAUUUUGCCAAGCGCGGCGCUAAAGUCGCUAAAAAUCGACAUUUUUCAUGAAAUUUCAGUCAACAGAUUCGAUUGUAAUUAUAAUGGUAACACCUACCGAUUCCCCAUAGAGGGCGCCUAAACUUUAGUGCGUUUAAGUCACUAGAUAUAAAAAGUACCGCAAUCAGACUCUCUAAGACAGCAAUCAUCCGCUAUUUUUGGGCAAAAUUUGCUAUCAACUGUCUCGGGGCUAUGCAAUGAAACAAGCACAAAAUAAAUAUCAUUCUCACUAUUUCCACUAUUUACGCUCUUCUGUUAUACUAAUGAUAGCAAACGCAACAAAUUGAGUGGGUUUCAAAGGGUCAGUUUGGCAACCCUACCUUUGAAAAUGAGAGAGCGCACAUGUUAACAGCUUCUCUAUAUGGAGCAAUAAUGAAUCGGUUACCACAUACACCCUGUCACAACAUGGUAGGUCGAUGCCUGAAUAACAAACAACUUUACGGAUGCCACCGAAUAUGGGAUGGCAAAAGAAAGAGUGGCAAUAAAUUUAUUUGAAAAGAAAACUGGCUUAACCGUACAGUCUUCCGGUUUAUGGAUUGAUGAGGAAACAGAAUUUUUAGGGGCCUCUCCUGAUGGGUUAAUUAAUGAAGAAAAUGCAUUAAUUGAAGUCAAAUCCUUGUUUUCUGCAUCAAAGCUGAACGUCGCACCUAUGGUGGAGGUAGUAGACGAAAUGAAAAAUAAAAAAAAGUACACUUGCUUAAAAAAAGAUAACAAUGGCGCCCUAGUUUUAAGAAAUCACAUCCAUAUUACUACCAGAUCCAAGGACAGUUACACAUUUGCAAAAGAUCUGUCUGUUACUUUAUAAUAUAUGUUAGCGACAAUGUUAAAAAAUUAAAAGAAUCAGUAGGGAUGAAAAACUGUGGCAGGAGAAGUUACGCCAGUUUUAUAAGGAAUGUGUGGCUCCUGAAAUUAUUACAAAUAAUAUCGGAAAUGGAAGAAAAUGCCGAGUUCCUCCAUUUAUUUUAGAUGCUACAAUGGCCCAUGAAGAGAAAAAAUCCCAAUUCCUAAAUUGGAUAGGGCUUAGCUAAAUUUAUAUAAUAAAUGACUAUACGGGGGUUUUGCUUAGCAGGGCAGUAUU